rnacentral:rRNA from 1 species
UACGAAGGGGGCUAGCGUUGUUCGGAAUUACUGGGCGUAAAGCGCGCGCAGGCGGUUUUCCAAGUCAGUGGUGAAAGCCCGGAGCUCAACUCCGGAAAUGCCAUUGAAACUGUAAAACUUGAGGACGAGAGAGGUGAGUGGAAUUCCCAGUGUAGAGGUGAAAUUCGUAGAUAUUGGGAAGAACACCGGUGGCGAAGGCGGCUCACUGGACCGAGACUGACGCUGAGGCGCGAAAGCGUGGGGAGCAAACAGG